UGCAUCUGAGGCCAGUGAGGAUGAGAACCUCCGGGGGCAGGAGGUUCGACUCGAGCGAAGCGAGAGAACGUUGCGUCAGCAACGGCCCGCAGGGCGAGCCACGAAGUGGUGAGUC
rnacentral:sRNA from 1 species